UUUGUGGUCCUUCAUGAAUGGUGACUGGGUUUUGGGGUGGACUGGUUGGAUUUGGGAUUCUCAACUGGUUAUCAGGAACUUAUGUAGCGCAAGGAAGAAUGCUGGGGUUAGAGACGAACAUCUGAGGGUAAUUCAUGUCAUCCAAAGGCAACUGAUGUCAUCUACCUGGGCUUCCACAAUGUCCUUGACAAGGUUGCACACCACUCCCUCAUCUCAAAAUGGGGGCAUUGGGCUGUUCUGCAGAGAAGGAAUAGGUUGGAAAGUCGCAGCCAGAGGGCUGUGGCCAACAGCUCCAUGUCCAGGUGGAGGUGGUGAUGAGUGGUGACCCCCAGAGGUCCCUCCUGGGAGCGCUGCUCUUCACCACCUCUCACUGACACAGAUGAUGGGAUGGAGUGCCCCCUCAGCACUUUGCUGAUGGCACUGAGCUGAGUGCUGCAGUGGAGACGACAGAAGGAAGGGAUGCUGGGAAGGGCAAACAGAAGAGAGCUUCAUCAUCUUCAUGGCGGCCAUCGUUGCUCUUUGCUGAUUCAGGACUGCCACCUCCAGAGCUUCAAAACCAGACAGAAAGGCACCUCCCAGCAUUGGGUUGGCCUCUCAUGGGAAGGCAAAGAGCAUCCAUGGAAGUGGGUGAACCACUCUCCCUCCUCUCACCUUCUCACUGUCCCCAAGCUGCUCCUGCCUCAUGGCACCAAUGGCGGUGGCCCUCAUCCACGGUGAGUGACAAUGGGGAUGUGGUGCCACAGGGGUUGGUGGCGCAGUGUGGGACCAGGACCGUGUCCCUUGCAGGUUGGUGGCUGGUGACAACGAGCAGGGCACAGCAACGUGAGUAUGGGGAGAAUGGGGACAGAGGGAGGGGAGUGUG